GCCUCGUUGGCUAAGUGGUAUAGCGUCUCACUAGUAAUGAGAAGAUCACUGGUUCGAUUCCAGUACGAGGCA